GGGCGAGUUUGAUCAUGGCUCAGGACGAACGCUGGCGGCAUGCCUAAUACAUGCAAGUCGAGCGGAAUGACGAGAGCUUGCUCUCUGAUUUUAGCGGCGGACGGGUGAGUAACACGUGGGCAACCUGCCCUACAGAUGGGGAUAACUCCGGGAAACCGGGGCUAAUACCGAAUAAUCAGUUUGUCCGCAUGGACAAACUCUGAAAGACGGUUUCGGCUGUCACUGUAGGAUGGGCCCGCGGCGCAUUAGCUAGUUGGUGGGGUAAUGGCCUACCAAGGCAACGAUGCGUAGCCGACCUGAGAGGGUGAUCGGCCACACUGGGACUGAGACACGGCCCAGACUCCUACGGGAGGCAGCAGUAGGGAAUCUUCCACAAUGGACGAAAGUCUGAUGGAGCAAUGCCGCGUGAGCGAAGAAGGUUUUCGGAUCGUAAAGCUCUGUUGUAAGGGAAGAACAAGUACGGGAGUAACUGCCCGUGCCAUGACGGUACCUUAUUAGAAAGCCACGGCUAACUACGUGCCAGCAGCCGCGGUAAUAAUCA
rnacentral:rRNA from 1 species